UAGUGGAUUGCUUUAUUUUUAUUUUCUCGAACUGUCAAUAUAGAGUCAUUGUUGCCAUUCUCACCUCUACCUAGCUACUUAUUAAUCUACUCUUUGGAUAGUAACAGGCGACUUAAUUUCCUCUACCUUAGUCAGUUCCUUCUGAUGAUAAAGGAAUGAGUCUCUGAAACUUGCCAAAGAAGGUGGAAAAGAACACAAAAGGGUGAUAGCUUCAUCUUCAUCAUCUAACUUCACUUCUAAAGCCCUG
rnacentral:lncRNA from 1 species